rnacentral:rRNA from 1 species
UGGGGAAUUUUGGACAAUGGGCGAAAGCCUGAUCCAGCAAUGCCGCGUGUGUGAAGAAGGCCUUCGGGUUGUAAAGCACUUUUGUCCGGAAAGAAAUCCUUGGCUCUAAUACAGUCGGGGGAUGACGGUACCGGAAGAAUAAGCACCGGCUAACUACGUGCCAGCAGCCGCGGUAAUACGUAGGGUGCAAGCGUUAAUCGGAAUUACUGGGCGUAAAGCGUGCGCAGGCGGUUUGCUAAGACCGAUGUGAAAUCCCCGGGCUCAACCUGGGAACUGCAUUGGUGACUGGCAGGCUAGAGUAUGGCAGAGGGGGGUAGAAUUCCACGUGUAGCAGUGAAAUGCGUAGAGAUGUGGAGGAAUACCGAUGGCGAAGGCAGCCCCCUGGGCCAAUACUGACGCUCAUGCACGAAAAGCGUGGGGAGCAAAACAGGAUUAGAUACCCUGGUAGUCCACGCCCUAAAACGAUGUCAACUAGUUGUUGGGGAUUCAUUUCCUUAGUAACGUAGCUAACGCGUGAAGUUGACCGCCU